AACGUAGGAGACAAGCGUUAUCCGGAUUUACUGGGCGUAAAGGGCGCGUAGGCGGCCAUGCGUGUCUUUCGUGAAAUCCCUCGGCUUAACUGAGGACGUGCGGAAGAAACUGCAAGGCUUGAGUCCGGGAGAGGGGGGUGGAAUUCCCAGUGUAGCGGUGAAAUGCGUAGAUAUUGGGAGGAACACCCGUGGCGAAGGCGGCCCCCUGGACCGGUACUGACGCUGAGGCGCGAAAGCGUGGGUAGCAAACGGG
rnacentral:rRNA from 1 species